ensembl:rRNA 5S_rRNA 5S ribosomal RNA
CCUUACAGCCAUACCACCCUGAGCACACCCGAUCUCCUCUGAUCUCGGAAGCUAACCAGGGUUGGACUUGGUUAGUACUUGGAUGGGAGACUACCUGGGAAUACCAACUGCUGUAAGCC